rnacentral:snRNA from 1 species
GGGUAUGGGGACGAUCUGGCUGCGACAUCUGUCACCCCAUUGAACGCCAGGGUUGAUUUGGCUGAUCUGGCUGGCUUAGGCGGGUGUCCCCUUCCUCCCUCACCGCUCCACGUACAUCCCUCCCGAAGCUGCGCGCUCAGUCGAAAAGGACGACCAUCCCUGAUAGAGGAGGACCGUUCUUUGAUCAAGAGUAUAGGAGUACUGUGCUCCCCGGCUCGAACCUCCAAAUGAGCUCUCAAGUGAACCUUGUCCUCAGCCUCCUGAGAAACUAGGACUACACGUGUGUCACCACACCAUGCAUAAAAUGGCAUUUUUUUAGUA